UGCCCAGCAACUCCUAUCCCUACCUCCUCGUGGUACCGGCCGGGAACUAUGAGCAACCUUUGGGAAGAUCGGGUAACCAACCUCGGUGGGAAUUUGGUCGUAGGCUGACAGGGAAGG
rfam:Aedes albopictus isolate Foshan contig13486, whole genome shotgun sequence.